rnacentral:rRNA from 1 species
UACGUAGGGUCCGAGCGUUGUCCGGAAUUAUUGGGCGUAAAGAGCUCGUAGGCGGUCUGUCGCGUCGGCUGUGAAAACCUGGGGCUCAACUCCAGGCCUGCAGUCGAUACGGGCAGACUAGAGUUCGGUAGGGGAGACUGGAAUUCCUGGUGUAGCGGUGAAAUGCGCAGAUAUCAGGAGGAACACCGGUGGCGAAGGCGGGUCUCUGGGCCGAAACUGACACUGAGGAGCGAAAGCGUGGGGAGCGAACAGG